CGCGGCGGCCCCCUCGGCGCUUCCCAAGCAUCCAUUCCUGCUCACCAGCCCCUGCUCCCCGCCGACCUGCUGCUGCAGCAAGGGACAGGGUUAGAGACGCAGCUGUAAGAGGAGGGACAAGAUCCCCGGGUUUCUGAAAACUUUCAGUGAAGAAGCAGUAACUCUCAGUGGAGGAAUAAGAUACUUGGAAGCGCUAAUUUCUUGAACUGCUUCAGGUUGAUUCUCAGGCAAAUGACUGCCAAGAGUUGGGAUGCCGUCAGACAUCUCAGCAGACUGCACAGUUUAAACUGGUGCACCUCGAGGAAAAGGUGGUAAUGAUAUAAGAAAUCUCUUUCCCUUCUGGAUCGAUACAUGCAAACCUUCAAAAUGUUUGGGUUGGCUGGCACUGAUUCUCCUUUGCUGUACUCUUCUUUACAGAAGACUCCCCAAAAAGUGGGCUCCAAAGACCACAAAGGUUCCUUGUGCAGCAAAAAUCCUUGUUUUUAUGUGGCUGGACAAAUCCAAAGCAAUAUUGCACAUGGAUUUCAGAUGCAAAUCCAGAGUCUUGCAGCCUUGGCUUGAUUCUGCUAAGGUUAUACAGUUGUCAAGAAGACAUUUCACCUGUCUGUGUCCUGAACUGUGGUUCAUCCAUCCUACUGGGGUUAUGUCAUCCAGUUGGAAUAAGAUCUUUGGAAAAUGGACUGUUUCUAAUCAUGAGCGACAGCACUUCUAUCACAUUGUAGAUCUGAUUUAAGGAGACAUCUUUGCAAUACAAAAAAUAAUCACCAGAAGAAGACCAAAUCCUGUGCGGGAGAUAAGGAAACCAUCACAAAAGUGUGAAGAAAGGGGAGAUUAAUUCACUUGACCUGUUUAAACUGAAAGUCUCAAAUGCCAGACAAAAAGGAGGAUAGAUACUUUUGGUUCUAAGUUUUAAUACUGUUAAAAUUGCUCUAGAAAGGCCUAGUGUGAAGUAUUGCAUCUAAACAUAAGGUAAUUUUGCUGUUCUGAUGAAGGUUGAAUGCAAGGCCUAGAUCCAUUGCAA